rnacentral:rRNA from 1 species
UACGGAGGGGGCUAGCGUUGUUCGGAAUUACUGGGCGUAAAGCGCGCGUAGGCGGACCUGCAAGUCGGGGGUGAAAGCCCGAGGCUCAACCUCGGAACUGCCUUCGAUACUGCGGGUCUCGAGUCCGGGAGAGGUGAGUGGAAUUCCUAGUGUAGAGGUGAAAUUCGUAGAUAUUAGGAAGAACACCAGUGGCGAAGGCGGCUCACUGGCUCGGUACUGACGCUGAGGCGCGAAAAGCGUGGGGAGCAAACAGGG